CAUGCAAGUCGAACGGUAAGGCCCUUCGGGGUACACGAGUGGCGAACGGGUGAGUAACACGUGGGUAAUCUGCCCUGCACAUCGGGAUAAGCCUGGGAAACUGGGUCUAAUACCGAAUAGGACCACAGAACACAUGUCCUGUGGUGGAAAGCUUUUGCGGUGUGGGAUGGGCCCGCGGCCUAUCAGCUUGUUGGUGGGGUGAUGGCCCACCAAGGCGACGACGGGUAGCCGGCCUGAGAGGGUGUCCGGCCACACUGGGACUGAGAUACGGCCCAGACUCCUACGGGAGGCAGCAGUGGGGAAUAUUGCACAAUGGGCGAAAGCCUGAUGCAGCGACGCCGCGUGGGGGAUGACGGCCUUCGGGUUGUAAACCUCUUUCACCAUCGACGAAGGUCCGGGUGUUCUCGGGCUGACGGUAGGUGGAGAAGAAGCACCGGCCAACUACAUGC
rnacentral:rRNA from 1 species